rnacentral:rRNA from 1 species
GUGGGGAAUAUUGGACAAUGGGCGCAAGCCUGAUCCAGCCAUGCCGCGUGAGUGAUGAAGGCCUUAGGGUUGUAAAGCUCUUUCAGUAGGGAAGAUAAUGACGGUACCUACAGAAGAAGCCCCGGCUAACUUCGUGCCAGCAGCCGCGGUAAUACGAAGGGGGCUAGCGUUGUUCGGAUUUACUGGGCGUAAAGCGCACGUAGGCGGAUUGGUCAGUUAGAGGUGAAAUCCCGAAGCUCAACUUCGGAACUGCCUUUAAUACUGCCAGUCUCGAGUCCGGAAGAGGUGAGUGGAACUCCUAGUGUAGAGGUGGAAUUCGUAGAUAUUAGGAAGAACACCAGUGGCGAAGGCGGCUCACUGGUCCGGUACUGACGCUGAGGUGCGAAAGCGUGGGGAGCAAACAGGAUUAGAUACCCGAGUAGUCC